GGGGAGGAAAGGUCCCAGGGUCCCGCGGCAUCGGCCGCCUGGCCCUCUGUGUGCAUAUGAGCGUAUGGAGACCUCAGAGACGCUGUCCUGGUUUGGAACAGCGACCCCCUUCAGCGCUGCCCGCUGCUUUUUGGCCGCCCCACGUGGUGUUGGCACCAAGAGAAAUCCAGCGUGUUCUUAAUGCCUUAUGCUCUCAGCCUUCCCUGAGCGCGUAUGUCCGUCCCGCGUGUACACCCUCCGGGGGAGGGGGGCGGGGGGAGUAAAGAGUUCUGUAUUUGUUGCCUGAGAAAUAAGAUGUAGUUUUGAGUUGGUGCCCUGUAGUCGCUUUAUUUGGCGAUUUUAUCAACAAGUCCAUCUAUCCUUAUCGGUUACCGUUCAUGAGCUUAUUCUGUGAAGGUUAUGAUAGCAUAUCUUGCUUUUUUAUCUUUCCAGGAAAAAAGUUAUCUCAUACAAGAUCUGAUUUAUCCCCUGGUUGUUUUAAUUGGCCUCCUCUGAAUCAUUUCUGCUUCUGUCAGUGCUCCUGUUGGGGACCAGAUUGUUAUCUGUGCUGUGGACUUAGCUCUAAUCAAUAGGACUGUGCGAAUUUGUUUCAAGGGGUGAAGUUUACCUGCAUGCACACGUUAAUCUCCUGUUUACGUACGAGUAAUAUUUGACUUCCGAAGCCUGUGCUGAUUUUUCUCGACCCGGCAGUGAUCGCCCUGCCUGUUUAAGUGAAUAUCACUUGGUUUUCUUGUUCAGAGAAAAUAUGAGGAAGGGGCUGUCUUUCACCCACCUCAGUUCCUCAUUCUUCAUUUCCAUUGUGUUAUUCAAGUGAAAGUUUUCCUUUAAGACUUUGUCCCUACCUCCUGGCAACGGGGCUGAGGUGUCGUAUCUAAGGAACCAUGCUCCCUCAUAGGGAGAGUGAUUCUGUGUCAGCUGAUGAAGGCAGUGACUUUGAAGACAGCUUGAGACGCAACGUGAAGAAGAGAGUGGCCAAACGACCACUCAAAACAACCCCAGUGGCAAAACAUCCAAAGAAGGGGUCCCAAAUGGUACGUGGUCAUGGCCAGAAAGAGUCAGAGCCACCAGCCAGUGAUCUCUUUGAUGCUGUGAAGGCUGCCAAAAGUGACAUGCAGUCUUUGGUGGAUGAGUGGCUGGAUAGCUACAAGCAAGACCAGGAUGCAGGAUUCCUGGAGCUCGUUAACUUUUUCAUCCAAUCUUGUGGAUGUAAAGGCACUGUGACCCAAGAGAUGUUCAGGAAGAUGUCCAACUCAGAGAUCAUCCGGCACCUAACAGAACAGUUCAAUGAGGACUCAGGAGACUAUCCCCUGACAGCUCCAGGUCCAUCCUGGAAGAAGUUCCAGGGUAGCUUCUGUGAAUUUGUGAGGACAUUGGUCUUUCGAUGCCAGUACGGCCUCCUCUAUGAUGGCUUCCCUAUGGACAACCUCAUCUCCCUGCUCACUGGCCUCUCAGACUCCCAAGUCCGUGCCUUCCGUCACACUAGCACCCUGGCUGCUAUGACACUAAUGACCUCCCUGGUGAGAGUUGCCCUCCAGCUGAGUGUGCACAAAGACUACAAUCACCGUCAGUAUGAGGCUGAACGAAGCAAGGGGCCGGGACAGAGAGCACCUGAGCGGCUAGAGAGCCUGUUGGAGAAACGCAAAGAGCUCCAAGAGCAUCAAGAGGAGAUUGAGGGGAUGAUGAAUGCCCUCUUCAGGGGUGUCUUUGUACAUCGGUACAGGGAUGUCCUUCCUGAGAUCCGUGCUAUCUGCAUCGAGGAGAUUGGGUGUUGGAUGCAAAGCUACAGUACCUCUUUCCUCACUGACAGCUAUUUAAAAUAUAUUGGCUGGACCCUGCAUGAUAAGCAUCGAGAAGUCCGUCUGAAGUGCCUGAAGGCUCUGAAAGGGCUGUACAGCAACCAGGACUUGACUGCACGCCUGGAGCUCUUUACCAGCCGCUUCAAGGACCGGAUGGUUUCCAUGGUCAUGGACCGAGAGUACGAUGUGGCAGUGGAGGCCGUCAAGUUACUAACAGUUAUCCUUAAGAACAUGGAAGGGGUGCUGACAGAUGCAGACUGUGAGAGCGUCUACCCUGUUGUGUAUGCCUCUAACCGAGCCCUGGCCUCUGCUGCAGGGGAAUUUCUAUACUGGAAGCUGUUCUACCCUGAGUGUGAGACAAGAACAGUGGAUGGGAAAGAGCAACGCCAAAGCCCCCGCUCCCAGAGGACUUUCUUCCAUCUUCUGCUGUCCUUCUUUGUGGAGAGUGAGCUCCAUGAUCAUGCAGCUUAUUUGGUAGACAGCCUAUGGGACUGUGCAGGGUCUCAGCUGAAGAACUGGGAGAGUCUGACAAGCUUGCUUCUGGAGAAGGACCAGAACCUGGGCGACGUGCAGGAGAGCACACUUAUAGAAAUCCUCGUGUCCAGUGUACAGCAAGCUUCAGAGGGUCACCCACCUGUGGGGCGGGUCACUGGAAGGAAGGGCUUAACCCCUAAAGAACGUAAGAUCCAAGCCAAUGACAAAGUGAAGCUGACUGAGCACCUCAUCCCCCUGCUGCCCCAGCUCCUGGCCAAGUUCUCAGCUGAUGCAGAGAAGGUUGCCCCCCUGCUCCAGCUUCUCAACUACUUUGACCUCAACAUCUACUGCACCAGGCGCUUGGAGAAGCACCUGGAGCUGUUCUUGCAGCAACUCCAGGAGGUGGUGGUGAAGCAUGCGGAGCCAGCGGUGCUUGAGGCUGGCGCUCACGCCCUCUAUCUGCUCUGUAAUCCUGAGUUCACCUUCUUUAGCCGGGUGGACUUUGCCCGCAGCCAACUGGUGGAUCUGCUGACCGACCGCUUCCAACAGGAACUUGAAGAGCUGCUGCAGUCGUCCUUCCUAGAUGAGGAUGAGGUGUAUAGUCUGGCAGCCACUCUGAAGCGCCUCUCUGCCUUCUACAAUGCUCAUGACCUAACUCGCUGGGAGCUCUACGAGCCAUGCUACCGACUCCUCCGGAAGGCUGUGGACACAGGAGAGGUUCCUCACCAGGUGAUGCUGCCAGCCUUGACUCUUGUCUAUUUUUCCAUUCUCUGGACACUAACCCACAUUUCUGGAUCAGGUGCUUCCCAGCCACUGUCUCCACAGAAGCAGCUGAUGAGCUUGAAGGGCAGGAUGGUGGCCUUCUGCGAACUCUGCCAGAGCUGCCUCUCAGAUGUGGCUCCUGAGAUCCAGGAGCAGGCUUUUGUCUUAUUAAGUGAUCUGCUUCUCAUCUUCAGCCCUCAGAUGAUUGUAGGGGGAUGUGAUUUCCUUAGGCCCCUUGUCUUUUUUCCUGAAGCCACUCUCCAGUCUGAGCUAGCCAGCUUCCUCAUGGACCACGUCUUCAUCCAGCCUGGAGAACUGGGCGGUGGUCAUUCCCAGGAGGAUCAUUUAAAGAUAGAGCAGCUGCACCAGCGUCGCCGCCUUCUGGCCGGGUUCUGUAAGCUGUUGAUAUAUGGGGUGCUGGAGUUGGACGCAGCCUCAGAUGUUUUCAAACACUACAACAAGUUCUACGAUGACUAUGGUGACAUUAUCAAGGAAACAUUAACUAGAGCAAGGCAGAUUGACCGAAGUCAUUGUUCCCGCAUCCUGCUGCUGAGCCUCAAGCAGUUAUACACAGAACUGCUACAGGAACAGGGGCCCGAGGGCUUGAAUGAGCUUCCAGCCUUCAUCGAGAUGAGGGACCUGGCCCGGAGGUUUGCCUUGAGCUUUGGACCCCAGCAGCUACAGAACCGUGACCUUGUGGUCAUGCUACACAAGGAAGGCAUCAAGUUCUCCUUGUCAGAGCUUCCUGCAGCUGGCUCCUCUGGUCAGCCCCCAAAUCUAGCAUUCCUGGAGCUCCUUUCAGAGUUUUCUCCCCGACUCUUCCAUCAGGACAAGCAGCUACUACUGUCCUACCUGGAAAAGUGUCUGCAAGAUGUCUCCCAAGCACCUGGCCAUCCCUGGGGUCCAGUCACCACCUACUGCCACUCCCUCAGCCCUAUGGAGAAUACAGCAGAGGCCAGCCUUCAGGGCUACCCCCGCUCCAAGAAGAGGCGCAUUGAAGGCCCCUCCAGGAGGCACAGAGAGGAUAUCUCUUCAUCCCAAGAGGAAAGCCUGCAGCUGACCAGCAUGCCACCUACACCCACCCUCACCUCCACAGCUGUGAAGACUAGGCAGCCCCUGGGGGGGCUGGAAGAGAUGGAAGAAGAAGGCGGCUCAGAAUCAGAGUUUACCCAAGGCCAACCCCUUUCAGGCACCCAGAGGUCAGAGUUCUCAAGCCCACAUCAUUUCCGGAUUCCACUCAACCCUCCAGGUCCUGAUCUGGGCAACCAGCUGACCCGACUCAGCCUUAUGGAAGAGGAUGAAGAAGAGUUGGAAAUUCAGCAUGAGUCAAGUGAAGAAUGGCAAUAUACAAACAAGCACUCUUCCCCCAGUGAGCACGGGCUGGACCUCUUAGAUUCUACAGAGCUGAACAUUGAGGAUUUCUGACAUGACUCGGCCCCUCCUCAUCUCCACGCUCCACCUCAGUGACAUAACCACUUGGAAAAGGCAAACAGGAGAACAGAGCAAAAGGAACCAUUACUUCCAGGCCUCCCCCUGGUCUCUGAGGGGAAGGAGAGGUGGGCUUUGCCUUUCUAACCUCACCUUUCUCUGAGGAUGUUGGGAUGGAGAAGCCUUAGGCCCCCUGCCUUCUCAAUGCACCAUGGCUCUGUCCCUCUGUGUUUGAGCAGACUGCCUGUUUCCUGCUGGGUUUGGAGGGGUGAGGGCUUCUCCUCAGUAUUGGAGGGGGGCACUGCCUCGUGUGUUGAAUGGAAAUAGCCAAGUAGUUUUCCUGUAUUUUUGAAACAUCUUUCCCAGCCUCUUCUGUGCCCUAGUGAUUAGCUCAAUAAACAUGUUUGAAUCAGCCGAU